AUGUACAACCAUGCCACCCUGAACGUGCCGGAUCUCGUCUGAUCUCAGAAGCUAAGCCAGGGUUGGGCCUGGUUAGUACUUGGAUGAGAGACCGCCUAGGAGUACCAGGUGCUGUAGGCU
rnacentral:rRNA from 1 species